UACGAAGGGGGCUAGCGUUGCUCGGAAUCACUGGGCGUAAAGGGCGCGUAGGCGGAUCUUUAAGUCGGGGGUGAAAGCCUGAGGCUCAACCUCAGAAUUGCCUUCGAUACUAGAGAUCUUGAGACCGGAAGAGGUAAGUGGAACUGCGAGUGUAGAGGUGAAAUUCGUAGAUAUUCGCAAGAACACCAGUGGCGAAGGCGGCUUACUGGUCCGGUUCUGACGCUGAGGCGCGAAAGCCAGGGUAGCAAACGGG
rnacentral:rRNA from 1 species